rnacentral:rRNA from 1 species
AUGAACGCUAGCUACAGGCUUAACACAUGCAAGUCGAGGGGCAUCAGUUUGGUUUGCUUGCAAACCAAAGCUGGCGACCGGCGCACGGGUGAGUAACACGUAUCCAACCUGCCUCAUACUCGGGGAUAGCCUUUCGAAAGAAAGAUUAAUAUCCGAUAGCAUAUAUUUCCCGCAUGGGUUUUAUAUUAAAGAAAUUCGGUAUGAGAUGGGGAUGCGUUCCAUUAGUUUGUUGGGGGGGUAACGGCCCACCAAGACUACGAUGGAUAGGGGUUCUGAGAGGAAGGUCCCCCACAUUGGAACUGAGACACGGUCCAAACUCCUACGGGAGGCAGCAGUGAGGAAUAUUGGUCAAUGGACGCGAGUCUGAACCAGCCAAGUAGCGUGAAGGAUGACUGCCCUAUGGGUUGUAAACUUCUUUUAUAUGGGAAUAAAGUUGUCCACGUGUGGAUUUUUGUAUGUACCAUAUGAAUAAGGAUCGGCUAACUCCGUGCCAGCAGCCGCGGUAAUACGGAGGAUCCGAGCGUUAUCCGGAUUUAUUGGGUUUAAAGGGAGCGUAGGCGGAUUGUUAAGUCAGUUGUGAAAGUUUGCGGCUCAACCGUAAAAUUGCAGUUGAUACUGGCAGUCUUGAGUGCAGUAGAGGUGGGCGGAAUUCGUGGUGUAGCGGUGAAAUGCUUAGAUAUCACGAAGAACUCCGAUUGCGAAGGCAGCUCACUGGAGUGUAACUGACGCUGAUGCUCGAAAGUGUGGGUAUCAAACAGGAUUAGAUACCCUGGUAGUCCACACAGUAAACGAUGAAUACUCGCUGUUUGCGAUAUACAGUAAGCGGCCAAGCGAAAGCAUUAAGUAUUCCACCUGGGGAGUACGCCGGCAACGGUGAAACUCAAAGGAAUUGACGGGGGCCCGCACAAGCGGUGGAGCAUGUGGUUUAAUUCGAAGCAACGCGAAGAACCUUACCAAGUCUUGACAUCCUUCUGACCGGUACUUAAUCGUACCUUCUCUUCGGAGCAGGAGUGACAGGUGGUGCAUGGUUGUCGUCAGCUCGUGCCGUGAGGUGUCGGCUUAAGUGCCAUAACGAGCGCAACCCUUAUCUUCAGUUACUAACAGGUCAUGCUGAGGACUCUGGAGAGACUGCCGUCGUAAGAUGUGAGGAAGGUGGGGAUGACGUCAAAUCAGCACGGCCCUUACGUCCGGGGCUACACACGUGUUACAAUGGGGGGUACAGAAGGCCGCUACCUGGUGACAGGAUGCCAAUCCCAAAAACCUCUCUCAGUUCGGAUCGAAGUCUGCAACCCGACUUCGUGAAGCUGGAUUCGCUAGUAAUCGCGCAUCAGCCAUGGCGCGGUGAAUACGUUCCCGGGCCUUGUACACACCGCCCGUCAAGCCAUGAAAGCCGGGGGUACCUGAAGUACGUAACCGCAAGGAGCGUCCUAGGGUAAAACUGGUAAUUGGGGCU